rnacentral:misc_RNA from 1 species
AAGUCGUAACAAGGUUUCCGUAGGUGAACCUGCGGAAGGAUCAUUACAAAUCUGAAUCAUCCACGAUGAGUGUGGAGUGGAGGAGAGAAUGAGAAUUCUCCACCCACACUCCUACUCUAUCGAUAUUAUUACCUAUUGACACUUGUAUAUUAUGUACACUAAACAAGAAUACCUUUUAACAAUGGAUCUCUUGGUUCUU